AGCGAACGCUGGCGGCGUGCCUAACACAUGCAAGUCGAGCGCGGGCAUUUCGGGGGUAACCCCGGGAUGUGCUGAGCGGCGGACGAGUGAGUAAUACGUGGACAACCUGCCUUAAAGCUUGGGAUAACUCCGGGAAACUGGAGCUAAUACCGGAUAAGACCACGGUGUCUAUGGAUGCUGAGGUAAAAGGCGGCCAGGAACUGGCUGUUGCUUAAAGAUGGGUCCACGUCCCANCAGGUAGUUGGUGAGGUAAAGGCUCACCAAGCCAAAGAC
rnacentral:rRNA from 1 species